AGACGAGAAGUCAAGGUCUGCGCGGUAACUUUGGUUGAGAUGGUGAAACCAAAGUACAGACGCCAUGGGUUCGUCUCGAAAAAGCAGAAGGAGAGAUAUGAUAAAGUAUCUGCAGGGCAAUUGACUCGAUGGAUUAGGGGAGCUAUCCUUACAGACCACAAUUACUCCGCCAGUGCAACCCCUGUCAGCGUUGAUCACGAUCACGAAUUGCCAAAUUUGAAUAUACUGGAAAGAGAGGAGGUGGUGGAUGGGGAAGAAGUGACUACAUCUGAGGAUUGGAAGGAGGGGAGGAGAGUAGUAGAACUUGGAGUGUUAGCUGAGGGCUUGCGGGGAUGUUGUAAAUGUGGCUUACCAUUACAACUUUCACACACUAUUUCUGUGUUGACAUAUGGUUUAGCUUCUUUGUUAAAGAAUUCAAAGUAUUUCUACAAAAGAAACAAGGGAAGGCAUCAGUUAUUUAACAGGAUGUGAUCUCCAGCAGGCCUCUGACAUCGUUGAAAUUCCAGCUCCAAAAACAAUUCCAAAGUAUGAUCAUCUCCCUUCAAGUCAGCUGUUAAAUGCUGAAGAGAUCUAUUUUGAUUUGGAAACUACUGGACUCGCAAGGGAUUCUCAUAUUGUGCAGUUGUCUG